rnacentral:rRNA from 1 species
AUUGAACGCUGGCGGCAUGCCUUACACAUGCAAGUCGAACGGUAACAGGUCUUCGGAUGCUGACGAGUGGCGAACGGGUGAGUAAUACAUCGGAACGUGCCCGAUCGUGGGGGAUAACGAAGCGAAAGCUUUGCUAAUACCGCAUAAGAUCUAAGGAUGAAAGCAGGGGACCGCACGGACUUGCGCGAACGGAGUGGCGGAUGGCAGAUUAGGUAGUUGGUGGGAUAAAAGCUUACCAAGCCGACGAUCUGUAGCUGGUCUGAGAGGACGACCAGCCACACUGGGACUGAGACACGGCCCAGACUCCUACGGGAGGCAGCAGUGGGGAAUUUUGGACAAUGGGCGAAAGCCUGAUCCAGCCAUGCCGCGUGCAGGAUGAAGGCCUUCGGGUUGUAAACUGCUUUUGUACGGAACGAAAAGACUCUGGUUAAUACCUGGGGUCCAUGACGGUACCGUAAGAAUAAGCACCGGCUAACUACGUGCCAGCAGCCGCCGUAACAC